CAGAUGAAGAAACUGAAAUAAAAGAGGAUCUUAACCUAGGACACCCAGCAGCCAGUGAAGGAACCAUGAUCUGAACGCAAGUCUUUCAGGCUCAAAAACAUGGGCUCAGGACACUGCACUACACACUGCCUCCAAAAUCUCCAAUUUAUGCCAGCUACUAAUAAAGUAUAGAUGGGGUCUGGAAAAUAAUCUCCCUGCAUCAAUGUCAAGCUGCUUGUGUGCACUAAAUUGCUGACUCCAACUAAAAGGCUGAGUCAAUGCGAUCUCGCUCCACUUCUGGCAGAUUGAGGAAAUUCUGCAUGGCCCUCAGGUUUACUAGAAGAGACUGAGAGGCUGUCCGAGGGUCUUCUUCCUUACGCAGAAUCUCAGACAACAAUCCCUGAUUAAAUGGGGGAAAAAAACAGACCAAGUCACAUUUGCAGGUAUAUGUGUGUGGUUUCUGUCUUCCACCCCUCUCCUCCUUUGUUUGGUUUAACCAGCUCGCUGUGAUGUCAAGAACCUCACACUAAUUCCUUAGGGUUCUCCGAUAUGAAGUCAAUGUGCUUGCCUUCCGGGGGAUAUGCAUUAUUUUAGGACUGUUCUAUUCUGACACUUUAUCAUCACUGUAAUAAUCAUCAGUGUACAGACAUGCCAGCUAGCAAGGUAGGCACUUGGGAAGAAUUGUGAAACUGCAAUUACCACCAGGUGCCUCCUACAAGUAUUUCAGGAACUGUUAGAACUCUCUCUGCUUGAAACUGGGAACACUUGGCAGUCCUGCUUAGCUUUACAAAUCUGCCAAGUUUGGUAAAUUUAGUUUCGACAUUUAAACAGCAUGGUAGAUUUACAUCAAUU
rnacentral:lncRNA from 10 species